GACGUCAGGGCCCUCGGGCCCCGCCCCCCAGCAGGCCGAGGACCAAUCCGCAGAGGGUGCAGGGUCUGAGGGGAGGGGCAGAGCCCGGGCCCCACGGAGGGCGGAGGGGGUACCCGGGAGAAGCAGAGAUUGGAAGGAGGAGCAGGGGGCCUGCCCUCCACCCCCACACUCUGGGCCCGAGACUCCUCGCUCCUCCUCGCCUCGCCUCGCCUCGAGUCUCUGGCUCCGACCUCUCUACUCCCUUGUUUCUGACCUGUGCUCCGUGGUGUCUCUGAUCUCCCCCUGCCGCCAGGGGAAAGGAGGUCUUCACCUCCGGGACCCCCACCCCCCACCCCCGUCCCCUCCCUGCCCCCUAUCCGUUCAGCCUCGGCUUUCUCGGCGAGAAAGCGCAGAUGGCUCCCGGCUGCUAACCCAGGAGGCUAAGGAGCAGCCCUAGAGACUGCGCAUCUGCAUGUCUGUGCCUGGGCUGGACCCGCCUGCACCAGCCAGGCCGAGCCAACCUCUCCUGGGGUGGAGGAUGGGAAUCCAGACGAAGCCUAAGGGCUCAGCGCCUGGAACCACUUGGGACAGAGAGUGGGGAGCAGACUGGCAACGAAGGGCCUUGGGCUCUGCGGAGGUUCCCAGCAGCAGAGCAGGCGCCUACAAUGGUGCCAAGGCAACCGGAGGGGGUGGCGGCCCACCCCCUCGCACCACCCCAGAGCCAGCUGGCCUAAGGAACAUCCCUCCCAGGACUCACUCACACCUAUUCUCCAACUCUGCCUACCUGCUCAAUUCACCUGAUGCUCUGCCAGUGGAUUGCUGAUGUCUCUACAUUGAUUCAGAUUUGCACCCACAUCUGAAAAUGGUCAGCAGGCAGGGACCCUCUGUCACCACAGGUGGAGGAAGAGGAGAUGAAAGAGCCUUGUCUGACACCCUGGAGACUGCAAGAAGGCCCUUGCCAGAUGUGGGCCCCUCCAUCUUGGACUUCCCAGCUAGCCUCCAGAACUGGAAACUACCCAGACUGUGUCCUCUCCCUCUUACUCUCCUAAAGGAAGACAAGGAAGACAAUGACAAAUGGCGUUUGCAGCAAAGCAACACCAACAGCCAACUUGAUGCUCAAGAGAGAACGCUAUGCCUCUUCCUCAUGGUUUCCAGUGCUCUACACAUUCUGAGAAACUUUUCUGGUUCUACUUCUGGAGGGAACCCAAACCAACACAUUUGAUAUCCAAAGUUGUCCUAGGAAGUAGACCCCCAGGAUAAGAUUCUGGUUUUGGAUCACUCAUCAUCCAGAUGGCCCAAAGAUUCCAUUGCUGAGUAGAGACGGGUUUUCACCAUGUUGACCAGUCUGGUCUCAAACUCAUGACCUCAAGUGAUCCAUCUGCCUUGGCCUCCCAAAGUGCUGAGAUUACAGGAGUGAGCCAUCACGCCUGGCCUGGGAUUUAACAUUUUAAAGCUUGGCAAGGACACCAGAAGCCUGUUGCAAUAUGCCCCCGGGAUAGAUCUUCAAAGUGUGGAAAAACUAUGAGUUCCAGCAAAUGAGGUAGAGAUGUUGGAACUUCCUUGACAGAAUACUUGGAAGAAUAAAGGCUCAGAAAAGUGGGCAUGCCAGAAUAAAAUGACUAUUAUAUAAGACUAUAGAACCCUCCAGCCUACUGUGUUCUUCAUGAGGGCCCAGAAAUACUCAAUAAAUAAAGUGAUACAAAAGGUGCUAGUUGGAACAGGGCCACUGGCAUUUGCAGGUCAGUGGUAGCUGUCCUCAGCAGGCCAGAGCAAUGGUAGCGGGAGCUGCUAUGGGACUAGCCUUUCUAGAGUCAGUGGGUAUAACAGGAGUCCAGAACGAGGUCAGGCGACAGCACGUGGUCAUGAGAGGCUAAGUGGACAUAAUUACCGUAAUAGGCAGAAAGACCAGAAAUGUAAGCAGGGAUCUAUUGUGAUGACCAAGAGACCAUGGUGUUCCCAGAUAGGAGGAUGGUGAAGGAGGGUAUCUCUUGCUUAUAAAAACAAGCAAGAAUGAGACAGCAGAAGGCUGAAGUUAGCCACUGCAAAGGAAAAUCCCCAUCCCAUACCCAGUUUCCAGGCCCAAACCAGUUUUCAGAUAUAGAGCCCUUUGUCUUUUUUUUUUUUU
rnacentral:lncRNA from 1 species